UCGAACGCGUUGGCCCAACUGAUUGAACGUGCUUGCACGGACUUGACGUUGGUUUACCAGCGAGUGGCGGACGGGUGAGUAACACGUAGGUAACCUGCCCCAAAGCGGGGGAUAACAUUUGGAAACAGAUGCUAAUACCGCAUAACAAUUUGAAUCGCAUGAUUCAAAUUUAAAAGAUGGCUUCGGCUAUCACUUUGGGAUGGACCUGCGGCGCAUUAGCUUGUUGGUAGGGUAACGGCCUACCAAGGCUGUGAUGCGUAGCCGAGUUGAGAGACUGAUCGGCCACAAUGGAACUGAGACACGGUCCAUACUCCUACGGGAGGCAGCAGUAGGGAAUCUUCCACAAUGGGCGCAAGCCUGAUGGAGCAACACCGCGUGAGUGAAGAAGGGUUUCGGCUCGUAAAGCUCUGUUGUUAGAGAAGAACGUGCGUGAGAGCAACUGUUCACGCAGUGACGGUAUCUAACCAGAAAGUCACGGCUAACUACGUGC
rnacentral:rRNA from 2 species